UCGUGUAGAGCAACGAAACAAAUGGGGUGCCCACAUUUGUUUCGUUGAGCUGGAGAAGGCGUUCAACCGUGUCCCUCAUGGGCACCCGUAGGGGUCCUCCACGAGUACAAAAUCCAGGGUCCUUUAUUAGGGAUUCUCUGUACAGGCAUCACUGACACUGAACCAGACCUGUUUCUGGUGCAUGUUGAACUCCGGUGUGGCUGCCAUUUAUCACCAGUCCUGUUCAUGAAGGGCUUGACAUGUGGGAGGCGACGUCGCUCCUUCUCCAUUUAUUUCCUGUGGAACUUGCGCAAUGAGGUGACAAUCACUUGCACUCAUCCAGAGAAAUUUGUGCAAUGGAAACAAGUAGACAUGUACACCUGGGCUUUUUGCUACCGUUGCUGUCAUAUUCCUCACAUUGAGCCCAUAACUUGUAUGGACAGGAUUUGUAAGGCGUAGCCAAGUGUUGGGAAGGUCUAGUUUGUUGAUUGGUGGAUUUUGUUCCUUGUUUUAUACGAAUGAUGUGGUCCUGCUGGCUCUUUCUGGCCUGGAGCUACAGAAUGCACAGGGACGGUUCACAGCCAAGUGUGAGGCAGCUGGAAGUCUGAGACAAUGGUUGGAUCAGUUUGGCUUCUCCAGGUUGGAGGGACGUUCCUCCCUCAAAUGGAGGAGUUCAUCCAUCUUGUGGUCUUGUUCAUCAGUAAAGGGAGGAUAGAUAAGGAGAUUGAUAGACAAAUCAGUGCAGCUGCAAUGCGGACACUGCACGGGUCCACUGCGGUGAGGACAGAGCUGAGUCGAAAAGCAAGACUUUCCAUUUACCGGUUGGUCUACAGAGUCUGCACAGUUGGAGAAAUCCUGGCUCUUCUUUACUUACAAGUCAUCACAACCACGAUGACCAGAAAGUCAAACACAUUCCUCAGAGUUUCGUUGUUUUUUUGUAAGUUGGUGUUGGUUCUGUUCAGUAUGCCGGUCCGGUGGAAGCUGAUGGCAGAAGCUGUGACAGGUCAUAGGUUUCAGAAAUGACAUGUUGGGUACUUGUAGCGUCUUGUCUGAUAGAUUUGACCAGAAUCAGCACUGGACCUUGGGAUCAGUGGACUUUCAGAGGACAUGCCUGCAGGAUCGUUGGAUGGUUGAACUGUUUCUAAGGUCAGGAGGCCGUGACACCAUCCACUUCCUUUGAGCCAGCUGGACAUGCCACUUCUACAGGAAGUUAUUGACCAUCAGGUGUCAAGCUCCGCUACAAUUGGUAUGACGUCACCAUGUCGGUCCUGAAACUGUGGAAAACAACCUCUGUGGCAUCUUCACAUGAAUCUAUGUAGGAUCAUAGAUUCAUUCAUACUGGCUUCACCAGCUGAGAAAGUCUUUGCAGUCACCAGCUGGUAGAACCUCCUGCUCCCUUUAGAGGUUCACAGGUGACUCUGUCUCACCUGCUCCAUCAGAGUCUCCUGGUUCUUCAGAUCUUUAAUACCAAACAUCUCACCUGUAGAGCUUUUCCAGGGACCUUCAAUCACCCUGUAAUUUGCACAGUGUAGCUGGAUUAGCUCAGCGUGAAUCAGGAAGUUCUCAUCACAGUUUUCAUCCUUUGGCGGUUCUGCAAAUGACUCAUCAGAUCAACGGGCUCCAUGAGGUCCGUCAGCUUGGUGACUUUUGCUUUUUGGACCGAACCAGUCCAAGUAUUCCAGAGCUUGUAGGAUAAACACACCGUUUGCAUCUGACUCUUUACACUCUGAUACGACUGGACUCACAAGAUCGAUUAUUCAUGCCAGAGUAAGUAUCGGUCUUAGUCAGGCACUUGGAGAUACACUCACAGGGAAAUGCUAGCGAUCUGCGAAGCCCUGUUAUCUUUAACGUGUCUCUGUACAUCAUCUGAUCUGAUGUUUUGGUCUUCAACUGUCAGACCUCAGGGCUAUUUUGGUCGGAACUAAUUAGCAAUUUGACGGGAACGUCAUGAGUACAAUAAGAAGUGUAAAACAAUAGCCACACAAAUACCAACUAAAAUCUUUUACUAUCAAAAACCAUAACGUGCUUCUGCAUGUUUGGAGCUGAAACUCUGAUCUUUUCUGACCUUUCUUAGUGUUGACGUUGGCAAGACUUCCGGUUCAAACUCUGGUCUGAAUAAUCGAUCUGACCAGUCCAGUGGUCCGUAGACCGGCCGUCGAGUCAGAGGCUUUCUGACAGGAAAACUCAGAUCAGACAUUGAAAAGUUGGAUGCAAGCAGUGUGUUGUGGCUGUCAUCCUCCUGUAGCAGGAACAUUUUGGAGGAAACAUCAUGAGGUUUUUGUCAUGCUGCCCCAGUUCAGGGUCAGACUUUAGUCGUGUGUAAAAAUACUAAGUGCAGCACCUUGAGCAUCCGCUGUGCAUGCAGGGCCGACGACGGCUGAGAGCAGAAGAAAAGCACACAAACACAACGUGACCAAUGCAAGCGCCUCCUCCCUGCAGACAGCAUGCCGAGCAGGGAGGCAGUCGAUGAAGGAAUGUAUGAACCCCUCCCAACUCUCCCUGCUGUUUUUAUAAGACUGUGUUGAUGUUUUGCUAAACUUUCGUAAAGUUCGUAUAUUACAAAGCAUUUUGCAGAUGAAGAGCUGCCUUCAGAGACGUUUGCAUCCUCCACUGUUCCCCUUUUCUAAAACACUGAGGCAGAUGCAUGGCGUGUUGUUUUGCAUGCAGAUGUCCAUGCAGGACCUGCUGGUCUCUGCGGUUCCUGGUAGUUUUCUUGCUAGUGAGUAAAUAUGAGGUAAUAACGAUGUUUACAGUGACGAGCCCUCUGUUCUCCAGCAUGUGAGUAGAUUUAAAGGCACAAACUGAGUAUCUCUGCAGAAACCUUCUGUUGGACUUCAUUCAUUCUGUCUCUGUGCUCCACCAGGUCCGUUUACCAGCUCCAGAACCCGACCAGAACCCUCAGUGUAAAUUACCUUGAGAAAUAAUGAGAUUUGGUUCUAUAAAAACAGCUUUAAUGCUGGAAAAUGAUCAAAUGUUACAAGCCACACAUGUUGUACAAACGGAUCAGAACCAGAGUGGAAACACUGAGCUCACCUGGUGGACGGAACCAGAUGGAGGACAGGCGCUGAGUCACCUGCCUCUUCUUCAUGUCAACCUGCGAAACAAAAACACCAUAAUAAAACCUUCAUCACACAGCA